rnacentral:rRNA from 1 species
UACGUAGGGGGCGAGCGUUGUCCGGAAUUAUUGGGCGUAAAGAGCGUGUAGGCGGUUCGGUAAGUCUGCCGUGAAAACCUGGGGCUCAACCCUGGGCGUGCGGUGGAUACUGCCGGGCUAGAGGGUGGUAGAGGCGAGUGGAAUUCCCGGUGUAGCGGUGAAAUGCGUUGAUAUCUACAGGAACUCCGGUGGCGAAAGCGGCGCGCUGGACCUCUUCUGACGCUGAGGCGCGAAAGCGUGGGGAGCGAACAGG